ensembl:snRNA U6 U6 spliceosomal RNA
GUAUUCACUUCAGCAGCAUGUAUACUAAAAUUGGAAUGAUACAGAGAAGAUUAGCAUGGCCCUUGCACAAGGAUGACAUGCAAAUUCAUGAAGCAUUCCAUAUUUAA